rnacentral:rRNA from 1 species
UACGUAGGGCGCAAGCGUUGUCCGGAAUUAUUGGGCGUAAAGAGCGUGUAGGCGGCCAGGUAGGUCUGGUGUGAAAACUCGAGGCUUAACCUCGAGAUGUCAUCGGAAACCAUCUGGCUAGAGUCCGGAAGAGGAGAGUGGAAUUCCUGGUGUAGCGGUGAAAUGCGCAGAUAUCAGGAGGAACACCGAUGGCGAAGGCAGGUCUCUGGGCCGAUACUGACGCUGAGGAGCGAAAGCGUGGGGAGCGAACAGG